rnacentral:rRNA from 1 species
UACAGAGGUCUCAAGCGUUGUUCGGAUUCAUUGGGCGUAAAGGGUGUGUAGGUGGCGCGCUAAGUCGGGUGUGAAAUUUCGGAGCUUAACUCCGAAACUGCAUUCGAUACUGGCGUGCUUGAGGACUGGAGAGGAGACUGGAAUUCAUGGUGUAGCAGUGAAAUGCGUAGAGAUCAUGAGGAAGACCAGUGGCGAAGGCGGGUCUCUGGACAGUUCCUGACACUGA